ACCCGCAGUAACUAUAUUUGAGGGAUACAUAUAUUACUUAUGUAUUUUUUUCAACAUUUAUAUAAUAAGCUUACAAUAAUAUAAUUAUAAUAUUUGUAUACAAUUAUUAUAAGGUGAUAACUGAUGUUAUAUUAUAUUAUAAUAUAAUUAGUUAUUCUUUUUGGUCGGAUUAAUAAUAAUCCAAUAGUAAAUAAUAUUAUCAUGUUUUAUUAUAUUAUUAUUAUUAUUAUUAUUUAAAUGUAAUACCAGUAUUACCUAGACACUAACAUUGCACAUUAACACACGAUUCUAUAUAAACGGUUUACAAAUAUAAUAUAAUAGUAUCAUAUAUUUAUUAUAAUAAUAAUGACAAGAAGAAUAAGAAUAAAGUGAGGAAGUGUCUUAUAUUUAGAUACGAAUUAUUAUCAAUUGCACUGCAUAUAUCUUCGGUGUCCCAGAAAAGAAGAGCUUAUGUAAAUGUUUGGCAUUUUAUUUUUUAUAAUUUUGUCUAAAUGGCAUAAGUGACUCUUAAGUCACAUAUGCCAUUUUAAGCCCUUCUUCUUUAGAGCAAAAAAUAUAUAAGCGAAUUUAUUAAAAAGUGUAUACAAAAAGAAAAAGAAAAUUAUACUACUAAAUUUUUUUUUCACUUUUUUUUUUAGUAAAGAAUGUAUAACAUUAUAAGUAUUAGUUUUAAUAAUACGACGAGUAUAGACAACUGCUGUGGCUAUACAUAUUACA